UAUUUUCAGAUUUUACUCCUCUCUCUUAAAAAAAAAAAACCCCCUAAACAUUUCUCUUCCCUCCCCCUCAUCCGCCGGCAGCCCCUCGAGCUCCGGCGAACCCCAACAACAACAACCACAACGACACCACGCCGCCCUUCCCCAUUUUUUUCUUUCAACCACCACCACGCCGCCUUUCCCCAUUUUUCCUCCGUCCUCACCAACCCAAUACCGCCAGCGACGCCCCACGAACCACCACAUCUCCGCCACACCUCUCUUCAUCGCCAGCAACCAAGCGACACCACGACACCUCUAUCCCUUUGUUUACCACCAAACAACAAAAACAGCCCGCACACCACCCAACUCCGACCAAACCACCAUUCACGCCCCCCACUGCCCGCUCCGGCGAACUCGCGACGCCGGAGCAGGUGAACUCCGACAACAGCCAACCACCUAAAAACUCUUCUCCCUUUUCUUUUUUUUCUCCCAGAAAGCCUACCCUCAUUCCCUUAACCCCUUUUUCAUUCUCUUCUUCUCUUCAAAUAAAUACACAUCUUUAUAUUUACACACACAUUACAUAUGCAUAUAUAUAUAUAUAUAUUACAUAUACAUAGAUUAUUCAUAAUCUUAUUCUUUGUUUUUCCGCUACCUCCGCUCGUCCUCCUCCGGCGAGCUCCAUGGAAACCGGCGAUUGUGCUUUGCUCUAUUUUCUUUACCAACGAUUUUUUUUUUCUGUUGUUGUUGAUUGUUCACUGCUGCUGCUGCUCUGAUUUUCUUUUCUCGGCUGAUUUAUUUUUCUUUCUGUGGUUGUUCGGAUUUAUUGUGGGUCUGUUGGUAAAAAGGUUUGGACUGGUUUCGUACAACUUCCCGUCAUUUUAUUGCGAACUCCGGUGACCUCUAUUACUGAUGCUAAUUGUCUUCAUUUUUUUUGCCUAUGUAAAUUGUUCUUCUUUUGAUAAUUUGUCUUGGGUUCUGCUAAUUUGUUACGUUGUUACUGCCCGCUGUCACGCUUAUUUUUUUUCAGUGUCAUGUUUGUUUUUGGCCCUGAAAAUACUACUCCGGUGGCCAUCAGUAUUGUGUUUAACACUCUCACCCCUCGUGUCAUUUUAUUUAAAUUCAUUUGGGCAAAUACUAAACCCAAGUGGCCGAUGAAGAAAUUUCCGUCGAUUUCCAAGGCCUCCCAUGUACAAAAGACGGAUUUUUUAUUUUAAGUUUAUUUAUCAUUUCUUUAAUUCAUUAGAUAGUUAUUUAUUUUCUUACUAACAUUUUUACCAAGUGCUUAUAUAGGUACGGGAAAAUACAUCUCGAAGACGAUACUCGAAAGGAAUCCGAAUCCCUGUUUGUAAUCUUCUUGUCAUUUCCGUAUUUUUAUUUUUAUUUCUGUCCAUUAUGAUUUUUUAUUAUUAGCUGCUUAUCAUAAGUUUUAGUAAAUUUCCUCUCUGUUUUCAGUUCCUUAUUUUGUUUUUCGUGUAGAUUAGCUUAUGUUGUUCGGGUUACCUAGCUAAAUCAGCUUACCUUUAUUGUUUGUGCCAAAGUAUGAUGUUUGUUCUUCAUGUGUCCUUUGUUUAGUUGAAGUUUAUGUUAGAUUAAGUUUUGUGUUGUUUAGGGUAUGUAUGUGAAUGCUGAUGAUAGUUCAUUUACAGUGACUUCUUCCUUAUUUUCUUUCUUGUAAACGAUGCGCCAUUUAGUAUUUAGUUUACGUCCAUUAUUAUUUCAAGAUUAAGUAAAAUCAGUCAUUUAGUUAUUACUUUCCCUGCAUUUCGUGCCAUUAUGUUUAGACUUGGAAUUUCUUUAGGCAUUAGUUAGUAGAAAAAAAGCAUGAGUUUUGGUACAUUUUUGUUGAUUAAAUAGGUCUGCUCCUAAUUUGAAAUAUAGCUAAGUGUGUUCUCCCAAAUCAAGUUUGGUCUAGCGAUUAAGGAUCUAAUGUUGCUUGAUAUUCAUCACCCCUAAUGGCUACUGCCUCUUUUAAAAUGGUUGCUUCCUUUUCCCAGAAUCCCUUUUUUUCCUUGUCCGAAAACCAAAAAUAGUAUUUAGUUCAUUUUAUGUUAUUUUUAUCACUCUUUAAGCAAAAUUUGUGAUGAUUCUGUGCUAAAGAAUUCUUAGUAUUCGCCUUGUUCUGCCUCAGUGAGGUUUUGAUCAGGUUUAUUUUUUUGUGAUGUUGUACACGGCCUGGUUAUUAUAGUAAAUGUUGUACAUGUCCUAUAUUUGGAUGUUCCUGUUUGUGUGUCCCUUAAAUGGCAAUGCCAGCCCUUAGUUGAUUGAUGACCACAAGGCCACUACUGAGCAUUUGUUCCAAUGGACCUAUAAAGUUGAAAAUUGGUUUAGGUUGCUCUGAAAGUUAAACAGUAUUUUGUUCAAGUUAAAUUUGUUUUUGAUAGAAAAUGGAGCUUACAUUCUCCAGUCAGUUUAGGCCAUUAGUAGGCAAUAGUAAUCUUACAGUCAAUGACAACUUAGUUGUUGUUCCGAUGAUCUUGCAUAUUGGAAAAGUGAGUUUAGGCUGCUUAAGAUUUACUAGGUCUGGAUCUAGAAUCAGUAGUGGUAACUGGUGUAAAUUUUGGUAAAAAAUUUCGUGGACUAAAAAUGGAGUAGACACACAAAUACAAAUAGGUUUCCUAUUUUUCCUUAAAAAUUAGGUGGUGACUCUAACCCUUUUAUACCAGUUAGAAGAACCGGGAAGUUGCCAACUAUCUUGGACCCCCGUUCAAAAUAGGGCGUAACAGUGGGUAGGUCACGACCGUGAAGAAGGGAAGAUGGGUCGGGUCUAAGUUGUGCUUUGCGAUCGCGAUGGUGUGCCUUGCGAUUGGGAAGUGUAAUUUAUGCCUCGACAGAAAUAAUUUCCAAUUCAACUUUGUUCAUAUUUUAGGAGCUCGAAUUUGGGUGAUGUCGAGGGCGUUCUUCAUGAUUUGGCUUGGGGGUUUUCAAGUAAUUUAUCAAAUUGAAGGCCGAUUUGUGAACGGAAUUCAAUGAUUUUCGAGAUUCUUACUAUCUAGACUAUGGGUAAGUCAAUUUUCUGAUGAAAUUACAGUUUUGCCCUUGGGGGCUCGGGGUUACCUUUUUGGGUUCCGAAUUAAAGUAUAGCAAUAUGGAUAUUGUUGGACUCGUUUAAGAUCGUAGAACACUAGACUGAGCUCGUUUGAUGAAUUUGGACGCAGUAGAGCUUCCGAAAAGCUUUAUCCCUUGGAUCGAGAUUGGGAUUGUUCAGAGACAUUGAGGAAAGGCAAGUACGUUCGUGAGCUUUGGAACUUCAAAUCUAAGGUAAGUUGAGACUUACUAGACUCUUUAUGAAGUGUUUGUGUUGGCUAAUAUAAUUAAGGGGCGUAAUGGGGAAUAAGGGUCCAGUACUCGUGAGGUGACGAGCAUUUGUGUGAGUACUAGUGACAUGUUAUGGGUAAUAAAUGGAAUAAUCUUGUGAAGUAAAUAAUGUCAAGCUUAUGGACAUUGGUUAGUAGUGAUAAAUCUACUUGUUUGGUAUGGUUGCUUAUGAUUUGGGCUUAUGAUAGCCAUAUUCUCUAAUAAUUAUUGUGAUAUUCAGUGCAUUCAUCACUCUACAUCUCGUCCAAAUCAUGAAAAAGAAACUAUAUUUGGCAUGUAAUUGAUAUUAAGCAAUUGCAUGUUGUAUGCAUAUCUACUUCAUACAUUGUCAUGAUAUUAUUGACUUGUUAUUGAUGAAUCCUACAGAUGGUCCAUAUAGACCCGAUUGGAUAUGAUACAUGGUUGGAGUGAUGAUGAUAUGAUAGCCUAUCGGCUUACACCCGAUGUGAUAUGAAGGAUCUGGGAUUCUGGGCUGCACGAGCAUGUGUAUACUGGUGCAUAUUGGCCAUUGAAUUGCAUUUCAUUUGCAUUCCAUACCAUACAUACUUGAUUGUGUUAUCCUUGUGUGACUCUUAUAUGAAUAAUUGUAAAGGACCAAGUGUUAUGACUUGAUUGAAAUGUGGACUUGCUUAUCUAAAAUGCUUAAGUGAUUAUAAUUGUACUACUUGUUACUAACAAAGUGUGGAGGUGAGUAUCGGAAGAAUCAACCGUCGUCAUCGUUUCAAUUUAGGAUCGAUCAACGAUGCUGCUGAGUACACGUGGUUCCCCAUAAUCACUCUACACUUGUUGAACAUUUUUGUGUGCCUGAUUCGAGUUCGAGCAGUGGAUGAGUUCCCGCCGACAAUUGAGGCAUUUCUUGGAGUUUAGGUGAGUUGAUGGCUGUUCUGCAACACUGGACUCCAUUUGUAUCUUAUCUUUUUGUCUUUACCUUUGGGGUACAGUAUUUGUAGUAUUUCAGACUUGUAUUACGGAUUUAGUAGCUCUUGUACUUAUGACUUCCAUGUUUUGGGAGAUGUAUGGCUUAGACUUAUUUAUAUUAUUAGAUA